UGUGGGAGCGGGCUUGCUCGCGAUGCUGACGGUGCGGUGGUUCUGCAUGCCCGCGUUGCUGCCAUCGCGAGCAAGCCCGCUCCCACA
rnacentral:antisense_RNA from 1 species